UAUAUCUAGAUAUAUAAGUAAAUAAAUCUAAAUCCUAAUCCGGUAAUAAACAAAACACAACAGGGGCAGAAAAGUAAUUUUUACUCUAACCCUAGACAACCCUAUAUAAGCAUCUUUAACACCAAUUCUCUCAUUUUCCCCCUUUCCGUUUCAGCUGCCGUUCUCUCUCUCUCUCUCUCUCUCUCUCUCUCUCUCUCUCUCUCUCUCUCUCUCUCUCUCUUAAAGCUUUCAUCUUCUCUUUUGAUCUCUAUUUGUAUUUUCUUCUCCUUUUAAUCUUUUACACUUUCGUCCUCAUUACUCAUAUCUUGCGUUUAUUUGAUUUAUUUUUUGUUCAUUUUUAUUUGUUUAGAUUUAGAUUGUUCUUUACAGUAUAAUAAUUUUUUUUUAAGCUUUCAGAUGUGAACCGUUUAUUUCACAUAUUUUUUGUUGCUUUUUUAUACAUCUAGAUCAAGAUUAUUCUUUACGAUUUUUAAUUUUUUUUGUUUUUACUUUCAGAUCUGAACAAAUAUAUUUUUGUUUGAUUUUCUUUGUCGUUUUUUGUUUUUGUUUUUGUCUCUUCUCUUAUCUUGUUCUUGUUAUGUCUUAUUUUGUUGUUUGAUGUUUGGAUUUUUUAGAUCUGUACAACAACUUAUCCCUCACGGCCUCUCUCUGUAUAUUUCGGCAUCUCGUGUCUAUUAAGGCACUGUGUUUGGGUCUUUUUUUUUUCCGAUGGAUAUUUUCGGACUUUUUGGUUGGAUUUGUUCUUUGUUGGUUCUUUCUUGCAUCGUGGCUAAGAUCCGCUACCUAUGGCCGCGCGUAGCAGCCCACGACCACGGCGGAAGGUGAGAUCUUUCUCACUUGUAUAUUAUUUCACCAUUGUGUGUAUUAAGGCACUCUGUUUGGGUUUUUUAUUUUUUUUAUUUUUAAAUUUUUUAUCUGAUCGAUAUUUUUGGUUUGUUGGUUGGAUCUGUUGUUUGUUGGACAAACUUUUUGUUUUUCCUGAUGGAUAUUUCUGGGUUUCUCGGUUGGAUCUAUUGUUUGUUGCAUCUCCCUCGCAUCACAGUUCACAUCCGCUGCAAAUGGCCACCCGUGGCAGCCCACGACCAUGCCAGAAGCACAUACGAAGAAAUCAGAAGAUGAAAUUUCAAAAGAUCGAAUUUGUUUGAUGGGUUUAAUUUUUUUUGUUGGCUCUACUCUAUGUAAAAACAGAUGUAAAUAUGCAAAUAUAGUUUUUAUCUUUCAA